rnacentral:rRNA from 1 species
UACGUAGGGGGCUAGCGUUGUCCGGAUUUAUUGGGCGUAAAGAGCGUGUAGGCGGCCAGGUAGGUCUGCUGUGAAAACUCGAGGCUCAACCUCGAGACGUCGGCGGAAACCAUCUGGCUAGAGUCCGGAAGAGGAGAGUGGAAUUCCUGGUGUAGCGGUGAAAUGCGCAGAUAUCAGGAAGAACACCCGUGGCGAAGGCGGCUCUCUGGGCCUUACCUGACACUGAGGAGCGAAAGCGUGGGGAGCGAACAGG